UUUAGGUUGUUUCUCUUUAUCCUUUGGUUGAAACAUCACACCAGGUGCUGGAGUUGGGAAAAAUAGGGAAACGAGGUGUCGACAAGGUGCAUUAGCGUAAUGCGAUUGACUGAGAAGAGAAAUGCUACCUUCUAAUUGGCAAAUCAUGAUAUCAACCCAACAAACCUGGCUUGAAAUCUAAAAGUCAGGAUUAUGCGCAUGUACGAGUUUCCUAGCAAGUGGAACCCAAGAGAGAUUUACAACAUGAAGUUGGUGCUUCAAGAUGAAUGGGGUGAUCGUAUACACUACUCCAUCCCGAAAUCAAAUAUGGUGGUAUUUAGGACAUUGGUUUGUGAGCACGAACUUUAUGCAAUGAGGAAUUUUAUUGUGUAAGCGGUAGGACAAUCUAUACAAACAACUAGCCACAAGUAUAAACUAAGCUUUUAUAGCAAGACCUCUGUCAGUUUGCUUCCCAAAAAUAGUUUCCUGUUUAAUCCUUUUUAGUUUAUCUCAUAUGAAAAGAUUGAGGCAAUGGUUGGUGUGAACAAGAACAACUUGCUAGACUGCAUGGGUCAUGUUGUAGGAAGAAAGGACGUUACACCAUUGGUUACAAAAUCAGAAGAUGAGAGAAAAUGCAUUAAACUACACUUGGAAGAUCUAGAGUCCGUUUCCUGUUUAUUUUCAAAUUCUUUUUUUCAGUUUUGUGAUUUUCCAUUGAUUUAUCAUUUGGGUGGGCUUUGUUUACAUUGUUUAUCCUUAUAUUUUGUUCCACUUAAAAAAUUAGAAAAAAUUCCAUGAAGUGCACCCUCUUUGGUGACUUGGUUGACAAAGCCCUUGGCUUAUUUGAUAAAGAUAAUGGUCAGUCUAUUAUCUUGGUGGCACAACUCUUUAAGUCUAGUUUCUAUCUCAAUGAGGUCAAUGUUCAAAAUAGCCUUUAUGCCUUUCGCCUAUUUUUUAACUCCCAAGAUCUCGAUGUCCUUGUAUUCAAGAAUAGGUGUGUUCAAGAUUCGUAGUCUGUUCUCACUUAACUGGCUCCCUUAUUUCAUUAAUUUCACUAUAAUAUCUUCGUAAGGUUGUUUGCCUAUUUUAUCUCAUGUACUUAAGAUUAAUAAAGAGAGGUGAUAUAAAGGCUCAGCGUAUUAAUUAUAUACAAAGCCAGCCCAUAAAUUCAGUUAGUGAUGAGUUGUCUGGCGAUUCCUUACCAAUCACUACUAUUGAGGAGGUUUUGAACAAAACUAAUGAAACUUCAUGUUGGAUACAAGCCACUGUGGUUUUUAUUGAAGUUAAUGGCAGUGACUGUUAUUAUGCUUUGUGCAAGAGUUGUCCUAGAAAAGUGAAGGAGAAUAAAGGACGUUAUCUGUGCGAGCAUUGUGGAAAAAUUAGUUUCAAUGUUCCUCUAAGGUAUCGUCUUCAUGUUAUUGCCACUAAUGGUACUGGCUAUAUUGGCCUAAUCAUUUGGAACCAGGAGGCCAAACUGGUUGUUGGAAAGUCUGCAAGUGAAGUCAAAGACCUCAGUGUAAGUUUUUUAAUAUUUGUGUGGAAAAUAAUUUAAUGCGAGACAUUCAUUAGAGAGUAAUGAAUAAUGAACUGAUUCUUUUUCCUAAAUCAAGAGAGAAGAAAUUGUGGCAUGCUAUCCCAAAGUUUUGGAUAGCAUUGUAGACAAGAAAUUUCUAUUUAAAUUGUCCAUUACCAAGAAAAAUCUCACCUCAAUUGAUUAAGUAUAUAAUGUUAUUAAGAUCAGCGAUGAUGACACACUCGUUACCCUUUAUGAGUCCCAGUCUUCCUCUAUAGAUAUGGUGAUGUAUUUUCUAUUUUUUAAUUGUUAUGUUGUUCUGUAUUUGCUUUGUUAUUGUAGUGAUCACAUUAUUUUUUUCAAUAAUGACCUCUUAAGGAGUUGACCAAGGUGUUUCCAAUCUAUUGCCUGCAUCCUUUACUAAUGAGGCUAAGUUUGAUGUACAUUCUGCUACAGUUGUGUCUUUAUCUAAGGUUUGUAUAUCAAUGAAACAUGCAUAGAACAUCUGAUGUGAACAAAUUUUAUCAAUCCCUACCUCUUAAGAUCUAUCUUUUUUGAGAUGUGUUGUUACGCAUGCAGAAUUCAAGUUUAGAGAGCAUUUUUGAGUGCGGUCUUGAGACUUCUAGCAAGGGUGUUGUGGCUAAUUCAAAUGCAGGUGCUGCUAUUGUUGGGGUGUAUUGUCCAGAUGUUCAGGGCUCUACAAUCAAGACAUUGAAAGGUCUUGCUAGGAAAAGGAAGCAUGAGUAGUUAGUAUACAUAGGCUUCGGUUAAUGGGAAAUCUGAGGAAGAGAUUUCCAACUUAGUUGAAAAUGCUCCUUUUUUUACGUACUUUUUGCUUUAAUGUCAUCUUUAGUUGGGUUCUGCACGAGAACUUAUUUGAAAGUUUAUUGUAAGAACUCUAUAUAUGUAUGUCAUUUA